GAUGAACGCUAGCUACAGGCUUAACACAUGCAAGUCGAGGGGCAGCACGGAGAUAGCUUGCUAUCUUGGGUGGCGACCGGCGCACGGGUGAGUAACGCGUAUCCAACCUGCCCAUUACUCAGGGAUAGCCUUGCGAAAGUAAGAUUAAUACCUGAUGUUGUUAAAAACCCGCAUGAGUUUUUAACCAAAGAUUUAUUGGUAAUGGAUGGGGAUGCGUGACAUUAGGUAGUAGGUGAGGUAACGGCUCACCUAGCCGACGAUGUCUAGGGGUUCUGAGAGGAAGGUCCCCCACACUGGAACUGAGACACGGUCCAGACUCCUACGGGAGGCAGCAGUGAGGAAUAUUGGUCAAUGGACGAGAGUCUGAACCAGCCAAGUAGCGUGCAGGAUGACGGCCCUCUGGGUUGUAAACUGCUUUUAGUGGGAAUAAAAGAGGACGUGUCCCUAAUUGUAUGUACCAUCAGAAAAGGACCGGCUAAUUCCGUGCCAGCAGCCGC
rnacentral:rRNA from 1 species